rnacentral:rRNA from 1 species
GACGAACGCUGGCGGCGUGCCUAAUACAUGCAAGUCGAACGAGAGCGACCGGUGCUUGCACUGGUCAAUCUAGUGGCGAACGGGUGAGUAACACGUGGGUAACCUGCCUAUCAGAGGGGGAUAACAUCCGGAAACGGAUGCUAAAACCGCAUAGGUCUUCGAGCCGCAUGGCUUGAAGAGGAAAAGAGGCGCAAGCUUCUGCUGAUGGAUGGACCCGCGGUGCAUUAGCUAGUUGGUGAGGUAACGGCUCACCAAGGCCGUGAUGCAUAGCCGACCUGAGAGGGUGAUCGGCCACAUUGGGACUGAGACACGGCCCAAACUCCUACGGGAGGCAGCAGUAGGGAAUCUUCCGCAAUGGACGCAAGUCUGACGGAGCAACGCCGCGUGAGUGAAGAAGGUUUUCGGAUCGUAAAACUCUGUUGUUAGAGAAGAACAAGUGCUAGAGUAACUGUUAGC